rnacentral:lncRNA from 1 species
UCCAGACCUGUAAUGACUCCAAAAGGACUAGGAAGACUCGAUAAAGACUUGAAAACCAAUUUAAAAGCAUAUAUACAAGAUGUAUAAAACACCAUAUAUCAAUUCCCCCAGACUUAGAUCCUUGUUUGUCCUCAAACAAUGUCAAGUAUCAAGAACAGGGAGAAAGGUUUGAAAGUGUGGGAACUCUCCUAUUCUCAGCAACCAUACUUUAACCACGAAUCUCUGAACCAUACAAGCAGUAAAACUAGGACAACACACCCUUACUGGAACCCCACUGACUGCUGUUCAAAAAUCGGCUCCAUACUCUUCAUCUCAAACCUGAAAAAGCAACACUAUCGAGACAGAACUCCCUACAUUCAUUUAAGAGUAGCGUGAGCUUCUCAUCACAGGCAUCAUUCAGGGUAUAGGUCUAGGUGUGGAACAGGCUAUUUAAUGGUGGAUUUAAAAGUGUUUAGGGGCUACCAUUUCAUUGAAGAGGAUGCAUGAUAUCACACAAAAUGACAAGAGAGGAUAGAUCCAUUGAUGUCCACAGCCUCUACUCGUUUUUGCUCUAUCUGAUGCGACUGUUCUGAUGACGGAAUAGACAACUGAUUGUUCUGCGUUCCACUUUCCUUUUGGUACCCACUCCUUUGCUCGAUCUUUCCAGUGGCUCAUAUUUCUUUGUUCUCAUCCCCUUCUCCAUCACCUUAUUUUGGUUUUUUUUUUUUUUUUGAAGACUGAUAUGGUGAUGUAACAAAGAAGGAGGUCAUACAUGAUGGUUCUGAGUGUCACUGGUGGUUCUGAUUUCGCAACCAUCCUGGUUCUCCACCCCUGCUCUUGCGCAGUUCAUUGGUUAUGGAGCGGUUGCUCCCUUAAUCUGCUUGUUCUCCUUUCUACCAUAAUUUCUGGAGCAGUAACGAGUAGGCGGCUGCGUUGAUUCUUUCCUCUCCGACCUUUUUGCACAUAUCUGCACAUAUGACACUGAAAAACAAAUGCAUGAAGGUGGAAUAAAGGCUAAGGUGCAGGGUGGGAACUAGCUAAAGAUGAGCUAGCCACUCAGGAUCAGCAAGAUGAAUAAAAAGGAUAAGAAGUCCUGAGUGUGUUCUCGUUUCCCUGAUCU